CCUACGGGAGGCAGCAGUGGGGAAUAUUGCGCAAUGGGCGCAAGCCUGACGCAGCGACGCCGCGUGAGGGAAGAAGGCCUUCGGAUCGUAAACUUCUUUCAGCAGCGAGGAACGGACACUGUUCUAUUCAGCAGGGGAUUGACGGUACCUGCAGAGGAAGCACCGGCUAACUCCGUGCCAGCAGCCGCGGUAAUACGGAGGGUGCGAGCGUUAAUCGGAAUUACUGGGCGUAAAGCGCACGUAGGCGGUGUCUCAAGUCAAGGGUGAAAUCCCCGCGCUUAACGUGGGAACUGCAUUUGAUACUGGGAAGCUGGAGUAUGUGAGAGGAUGGUAGAAUUCCAGGUGUAGGAGUGAAAUGCGUAGAGAUGUGGAGGAAAAUCAGUGGCGAAGGCGGCCAUCUGGCACUUAACUGACGCUGAGGAGCGAAAGCGUGGGGAGCAAACAGGAUUAGAUACCCUUGUAGUC
rnacentral:rRNA from 1 species